GCCGGUUUGGCUCAGUGGGUAGAGUGUCAGCCUGUGGACUGAAGAGCCCUGGGUACGAUUCCCAUAAAGAGGCA
rfam:Myotis lucifugus cont2.21974, whole genome shotgun sequence.